AUGCAUCUGAGCGAGAACGAGGGGAUUGAGGGCGUGCGGUUCGCAAUGACUGUCGGGCAGGGCUUCGUCGGUGCCGCGCUAUGCCUGGAGCUGAUCCGCCGCGGCGCCCUGGAGGUCUGCUCCCUCGACAGCUCGACCUGCGCGAUUCCUCCGCUUGGUCCCAUCAGCUCCUCGACGCCGGCGUCCGCUUCUUACAAGGUUCUCUCCCUCACUCUCUUUUGCUUAAAUUAUUGUGUUUUUUUCUGUCGCCAUGAGUGGGCGUGA
rnacentral:rRNA from 1 species